UGAAGCGAAAGUAAAAUUUCGUGGGGGUCCGAACCCACGAGCAUUGAAAAGCUCGGGGAUGACUCGUGGGUAGCGGUGAAAUUCCAAUCGAGCCCGGAGAUAGCUGGUUCUCCCCGAAAUAGCUUUCGGGCUAGCCUCAAGGUGAGAGAUACGGAGGUAGAGCACUGAAUGUCCUAGGGGGUAUUGCACCUACCGAAGACUAUCAAACUCCGAAUGCCGUCAUCUUAUACUUGGGAGUCAGACUGUGGGUGAUAAGAUUCAUAGUCGAAAGGGCAACAGCCCAGAUCGUCAGCUAAGGUCCCUAAAUGUAAGUUAAGUGGUAAAGGAUGUGGGAUUGCACAGACAACCAGGAUGUUGGCUUAGAAGCAGCCACUCAUUCAAAGAGUGCGUAAUAGCUCACUGGUCGAGUGAUCCUGCGCCGAAGAUUUCCGGGGCUAAAACUUACUACCGAAGCUACGGCAUCAGUAAUGAUGGGUAGGGGAGCUUCCCAUACGGGUUGAAGCAUGACCGUAAGGACAUGUGGACAGUAUGGGAGUGAGAAUGUUGGCAUGAGUAGCGAGAUGUGGGUGAGAAUCCCACAGGCCGUAAACCCAAGGUUGCCAGGGGAAGGUUCGUCCGCCCUGGGUUAGUCGGGACCUAAGCUGAGGCCGAAAGGCGUAGGUGAUGGACAACAGGUUGAUAUUCCUGUACUACCGAUAACCGUUUGAGAGAUGGGAUGACACAGUAGGAUAAGCUAAGCACACUGUUGGUUAUGUGUGCCCAAGCAUUGAGGCAGUCAAAGUAGGCAAAUCCGCUUUGAUAAUGCUGGGAUGUGAUGGGGAGCGAAAUUUAGUAGCGAAGUAGCUGAUUUCACACUGUCAAGAAAAGUCUCUAUCGAGGUUAAAGGUACCCGUACCGCAAACCGACACAGGUGGGUGAGGAGAGUAUCCUAAGGCCAGCGAGAGAACUGUUGUUAAGGAACUCGGCAAAAUGACCCCGUAACUUAGGGAUAAGGGGUGCCACCAUCAGGUGGCCGCAGAGAAUAGGCCCAAGCGACUGUUUACCAAAAACAUAGGUUUCUGCUAAGUCGCAAGACGAUGUAUAGGAGCUGACGCCUGCCCGGUGCUGGAAGGUUAAGGGGAUCUGUUAGAGCAAUCGAAGCAGUGAACUUAAGCCCCAGUAAACGGCGGCCGUAACUAUAACGGUCCUAAGGUAGCGAAAUUCCUUGUCGGGUAAGUUCCGACCCGC
rnacentral:rRNA from 1 species